UGUGUACAAUGUGUUUCAGCUGUAUAUCUGUGCUGCAAUGUGAUACAAAUAGUCUGUGCUUCUCCUACCUAUGGUGCUGGGUUUAGUGCUGAAGAUCAUGCCAAGGAAGAGAGAGAACAUGGAGAUGGCGGUGAUGUCGUCAAGACUGCAGGCAGCCAGAACCAGGGUUGGGAUACCUUUGUCUUCACCAUAGCCUCGCUCCUUAAGGUCCAGUAGAGUGGGCACCACGACAGCCGGCAGUCAAGAGAACUUACCCCAAGACAAGUGCCCAGAGCCAUGGCCAGCCCAGCAGGAAGACAGCAAUAAGAGCGAUGGUGAUAGCCUCUAUCGUACAUGGACACAUGCCCAGUCUCACCACAACUAAGGACAACUUGAUCAAGGUGGCAGGGUCCAGUCCUAGUCCUGCCUUGAUCAAGAUCACAGUCAUAGCUGUCUGUCUGGAGCAUCACAGUGUAAACAUGUAGAUCGUACAAGUUGAGCAAAGAAACAGAUCAAGGAUUGUUAGUAUCAUUUAGAUGAAUACAAAAAUUAAGAUCCAAAGAUACAAUGAAGCAUACAAUGUCUGAGAAUAUGGGAAAGAGGGACAGAGUAUGUACAAAAAGGUAUAGCAAAAAAUUAAGAGUUAAACAAAAGAAAAAGGUAAGACAGAAGAUAGUAUACAGAGAUUCAUAGAAUAGCAUCAUUUUACAGAUUUAAAAAAUGGAAUCUGAAAAAUUACAAUAAAAUUUUGGAAUAUAAA